rnacentral:rRNA from 1 species
UACAGAGGUCUCGAGCGUUGUUCGGAUUCAUUGGGCGUAAAGGGUGCGUAGGUGGCUUGGUAAGUCGGAUGUGAAAUCCCGGGGCUCAACCCCGGAACUGCAUUCGAUACUGCUUUAGCUUGAGUCCUGGAGAGGAGAUCGGAAUUUACGGUGUAGCAGUGAAAUGCGUAGAUAUCGUAAGGAAGACCGGUGGCGAAAGCGGCUCACUGGACCAUAACUGACGCUGAUGCACGAAAGCUAGGGGAGCAAACAGG